UACGAAGGGUGCAAACGUUGUUCGGAAUUACUGGGCGUAAAGCGCGUGUAGGCGGCAGGGCAAGUCGGAUGUGAAAUCCCGUGGCUCAACCACGGAAGUGCACCCGAAACUGCCCAGCUAGAGUCUCGGAGAGGAAGGUGGAAUGCUUGGUGUAGAGGUGAAAUUCGUAGAUAUCAAGCGGAACACCGGUGGCGAAGGCGGCCUUCUGGACGAUGACUGACGCUGAGACGCGAAAGCGUGGGGAGCAAACAGG
rnacentral:rRNA from 1 species